GUCGAGAAUAAUUCACAAUGGACGAAAGUCUGAUGGUGCAACGCCGCGUGGAGGAUGAAGGUCUUCGGAUUGUAAACUCCUGUCAUCGGGGAGUAAGACCUGGCGGUAAAUAGCCGACAGGGUUGAUAGUACCCGAAGAGGAAGGGACGGCUAACUUCGUGCCAGCAGCCGCGGUAAUACGAAGGUCCCAAGCGUUGUUCGGAAUCACUGGGCGUAAAGGGAGCGUAGGCGGCGUGGUAAGUCAGAUGUGAAAUCCCGGGCUCAACCCGGGAACUGCAUCCGAUACUGCCAUGCUUGAGGGUUGGAGAGGUAGCUGGAAUUCUCGGUGUAGCAGUGAAAUGCGUGGAUAUCGAGAGGAACACUCGUGGCGAAGGCGAGCUACUGGACAACAUCUGACGCUGAGGCUCGAAGGCCAGGGGAGCAAAAGGGAUUAGAAACCCUGGUAGUCC
rnacentral:rRNA from 1 species